GCCGUAUUGGAUUUGAGCCUGGCUGCUCUGUGACUGUAUGGCUCAAAGUGGCUACGUGACUCUUGGCUGCAUGGCCACAGAUGUUCAACCUUGAAAUGACUGCCAUAAGUCUUGAGAGUGUUGGACAAAAGCCUCUCCCAUGAAUUUAUGGCACAGAAAGAUAACUUUCACAGGAUGUUUCAGCCUGAACAAACACCAGACGUCUCCGGCGUCUCCAUCCAUGACCUCUUCACCUUCUGCUCUCGCUGCUAUGCCCUCCUCCCUCCAUCCUUUGUGUUUCACAAAGGACACUCCCCCUACCUGAAAGCCUUAAAAGCUGUAAUGUUCACCCCAAUAAAUGAGACCUUGACAACAGAA
rnacentral:lncRNA from 1 species